UUUGUCACAUGAUAUAUUCACCUGACAAGUUUGAGAUUUAGAUUUUUCAGCUAAGGCGAGAAUUCAGCGGCUGACAAUUUAUUAAUUUACUUUCUUUUUUGAGGAAACCAAUAAAAAGCGGCACUAUGAAAAUCUGUGGUCCAAAAUUAUCCCUCUGUGGUCUGAUUAUUUCAGUGUGGGGCAUUGUUCAAUUGGUGCUGAUGGGCCUAUUUUUCUAUAUCAAUAGUGUGGCUCUUAUAGAGGAUUUACCUCUUGAAGAGGAAUACCAUACUUUGGACGAGUUUUAUACAGCUGCAAACAGAGCCUACAAUCAGAACGCCUAUAACUGCUGGAUUGCAGCUUGCAUCUAUGUACUGACACUGUUACUUUCGGCCCAACAAUUCUAUAUGAAUAGCAGAGUAACUGCUAAUUAAAAUGCUUCCACUUUUGAUAGUAUCAGUGUGAAGCCCAAUUGCUAGUUGUGUAUUAUUGUGACCGGCACUAGCAGUCGAUAGUAUUAAAUGGUUUAAUUAAAUUGUUAAUCUUUUUUGUUUCUUAAAAGUUUUCCAUUGUUUUUGUCAAAUAAUGAAAUUUUGUUUGAAAAAAUGUUGUUCAGCUUAAAAACUUACUACAUUCCGGUUUAUCUUAACGUAAUUAUAAUGGUGUAUGAUUCAUAGUGCAUAUUAUUGAGUUUCACCCAAAUUAUAAAAUAUUUAAUUUCAUUAUACAUCGCAAUGUGGCCGUGGUGAAUGCAUUACGAAAUAUAUAUCCAAACAUCAUUCUAGAUAAACCUACGGAUUUAUUUUCAAUGACUAUCGGAUCAGGAAAGACCAAAGGUUGCUUAAAAUCUAAAUUUAAAAGGUAGCCAACAAAUCUUCGCAAAUAAAUAAACUUAAAUUCUCCAGAAUCUUUGGUAUCAUCUAUACCAGUGCUAGGCAGGGCCCUAUUCCAGGAGCAAAGGAAAAUUCUCAGCCCAAGAUCUGCCAUAUAUACACAGUAACGAGCGAAACAUCACGUUUGCAUUCAACUUUCGGCUAUUUGUUACUAAUAUUAAUAAAUUGAAAUCAUAUUAAUGUAUUGGCUGAUAACCGCUGAUCUAUGCCAACGUUCCCUAAAAAUGUUAAACUAAA
rnacentral:misc_RNA from 1 species